rnacentral:lncRNA from 1 species
UGAACUUCUUUGAUGGUUUUUGAAGGUUUUAUGAAAGUUUGAUGGGUAGUAUGUAUGAUUAGGUUUAGGUGAGGUUUUUGGGAGAUGUAUAUGUUCAAGCAUGUUCAGUGUUGUUUGAUGUGUUUUUGUGAGGUUUUAGGCUAGUUUUGGACCUCUUUGUGCAUGUUUUCUGGUAUGUGCUAGUUGGGAGUAGUUGAGAUGCAUGUUGGGUACAUUUUGGGUAAGGUUUGCAUGAAACAGAGCAGGGUUCUGCCCAACGGGCAAAACCAGGUUCGGCCGCCGAAGGAAGGUUCGGCCGCCGAACCCCUUGUGGAGGCAGUUUCGGCUGCCAAAGCUUGCCCCCGAAACUUGGGACUUUCGUCUCUGGAGGCAAGGUUCGGCCGCCGAAAGUGCCGCCGAAGGUUGAGUUUCGUCUUUGGAUGAGACUUUCGGCCGCCGAAGGUGCCGCCGAACAUGCAUGAGUUUCGUCUCUGGAGAGGGGUUUCGGCCGCCGAACCUGCCGCCGAAAGUGCCCUGUCCAGCUUUUUUUGCAUGUUUUAUGUGCUUGUUAGGGGAUCUUGUAGAGGGUUUUUGGGGAGUUUCGUAGAGAUGUUCGUGAGUUAGUUUGGUCCCUCAUUUGAGUCCACCUGUGUAGGUACGGACCAGAGGAAUCAGGGUGGUCAGCAGUGAGUCCAGUUUCAGAACCUGCCGAGUCAGUUCAGAGUCAACCCGAGGUGAGUGGAACUGAACGUAAUGUUUGAAUAUGAGAAAUGCAUAUUUUAUCAUACUUCAU